rnacentral:hammerhead_ribozyme from 1 species
GUACUUCUGAAGAGUCCCAAACUAGGACGAAACAGCUGCCCAGUAC